rnacentral:rRNA from 1 species
GAUGAACGCUAGCUACAGGCUUAACACAUGCAAGUCGAGGGGUAACAAGAGGAAAGCUUGCUUUUCUUGUUGACGACCGGCGCACGGGUGAGUAACGCGUAUCCAACCUGCCUAUAACUAGGGAAUAACCUUGCGAAAGUAAGACUAAUACCCUAUGAUUUCCUUUGAUGACAUCAGAUUAGGAAUAAAGAUUUAUCGGUUAUAGAUGGGGAUGCGUCUGAUUAGCUUGAUGGCGGGGUAACGGCCCACCAAGGCAACAAUCAGUAGGGGUUCUGAGAGGAAGGGCCCCCACAUUGGAACUGAGACACGGUCCAAACUCCUACGGGAGGCAGCAGUGAGGAAUAUUGGUCAAUGGGCGGUAGCCUGAACCAGCCAAGUAGCGUGCAGGAUGACGGCCCUAUGGGUUGUAAACUGCUUUUAUACAGGAAUAAAGUUAGCCACGUGUGGUUAUUUGUAGGUACUGUAUGAAUAAGGACCGGCUAAUUCCGUGCCAGCCGCCGCCGUAA